AACGAACGCUGGCGGCAGGCUUAACACAUGCAAGUCGAGCGCCUCGCCAGAGGAGCGGCAGCCGGGUGAGUAACGCGUGGGAACGUACCCUUAUCUUCGGAAUAGCUCUGGGAAACUGGAAGUAAUACCGAAUGUGCCCUUAGGGGGAAAGAUUUAUCGGAUAAGGAUCGGCCCGCGUUGGAUUAGCUAGUUGGUGGGGUAAAGGCCUACCAAGGCGACGAUCCAUAGCUGGUCUGAGAGGAUGAUCAGCCACAUUGGGACUGAGACACGGCCCAAACUCCUACGGGAGGCAGCAGUGGGGAAUAUUGGACAAUGGGCGCAAGCCUGAUCCAGCCAUGCCGCGUGAGUGAUGAAGGCCUUAGGGUUGUAAAGCUCUUUCACCGGAGAAGAUAAUGACGGUAUCCGGAGAAGAAGCCCCGGCUAACUUCGUG
rnacentral:rRNA from 1 species